AGGCCAUAUCAUGUCGAAACACUGGUUCUUGUAUGAUCACCAAAGUUAAGCCACAUCGAUUUUAGUCAGUACCUAGAUGGGUGAUCACUUGGGAAUUCUAAGUGCUGUAA